rnacentral:ncRNA from 1 species
GUGUUGUAUGAAAGGAGAGAAGGUUAGCACUUCCCUUGCCUAGGAUGGAAGAGGCCCUCAGGGUGGACAACGUGCAUACAGUUAAGGCACUGCCACCUACUUUGUGGCAUCUAACCGUCUAUCGUU